AUUGAACGCUGGCGGCAUGCCUUACACAUGCAAGUCGAACGGCAGCACGGGAGCAAUCCUGGUGGCGAGUGGCGAACGGGUGAGUAAAGUAUCGGAACGUGCCCAGUCGUGGGGGAUAACGUAGCGAAAGUUACGCUAAUACCGCAUACGAUCUAUGGAUGAAAGCGGGGGAUCGCAAGACCUCGCGCGAUUGGAGCGGCCGAUAUCAGAUUAGGUAGUUGGUGGGGUAAAGGCUCACCAAGCCGACGAUCUGUAGCUGGUCUGAGAGGACGACCAGCCACACUGGGACUGAGACACGGCCCAGACUCCUACGGGAGGCAGCAGUGGGGAAUUUUGGACAAUGGGCGAAAGCCGGAUCCAGCCAUGCCGCGUGCAGGAUGAAGGCCUUCGGGUUGUAAACUGCUUUUGUACGGAACGAAAAGGUUUGGCCUAAUAAGCUGAGCUCAUGACGGUACCGUAAGAAUAAGCACCGGCUAACUACGUGCCAGCAGCCGCCGCCG
rnacentral:rRNA from 1 species